CCUAGUUCACCAAUAGAUACCCUCUUAUACAAAAGGAGAAACUGAGAAUAUAGGCACACUAGAAAAGGCAGACAAGGUCUGUAGCCCUGGACACAAACAAAUGAUAAGAAUGUUGUAAGCAUAGCAGAGAAUAAUAUGAUAAAAAAGAAGCAUGGGACAAAACACCAAAGAGCAAAUAAUUUAACAAUUUCAGAAAGGCGCUAUUUGGUCACUGAAAAAUGCAAGCUAACAAUGAGAAAAAUAAGUGAUUUGCUUUAAUUAUUUUGGACAUCAAGAUAAAACGAGUCCACAAACAUUACACUAGUCAGCAUAUAAUUUUGAGAAAGACAUAACAUCAUAAGAUCAAAAUUUUCCUUUUUUACCAUAAGUAAGCUUGAAAUGAAUGUAAUUCAAAAAUAAAGUUGAAGCAACUCAC
rnacentral:misc_RNA from 1 species